rnacentral:rRNA from 1 species
CUGUAACUGACGCUGAGGCUCGGAAGCGUGGGGAGCAAUAGGGAUUAGAUACCCUGGUAGUCCACGCGGUAAACGAUGAGGUGCUAGGUGUUAGGCCUUUCCGGGGCUUAGUGCCGGCAGCUAACGCAUUAAGCACUCCGCCUGGGGAGUACGACCGCAAGGGUUGAAACUCAAAGGAAUUGACGGGGGGCCCGCACAAGCGGUUGGAGCAUGUGGUUUAAUUCGAAGCAACGCGAAGAACCUUAACCAGGUCUUGACAUCCCGAUGCUAUUCCUAGAGAUAGGAAGUUUCUUCGGAACAUCGGUGACAGGUGGUGCAUGGUUGUCGUCAGCUCGUGUCGUGAGAUGUUGGGUUAAGUCCCGCAACGAGCGCAACCCCUAUUGUUAGUUGCCAUCAUUAAGUUGGGCACUCUAGCGAGACUGCCGGUAAUAAACCGGAGGAAGGUGGGGAUGACGUCAAAUCAUCAUGCCCCUUAUGACCUGGGCUACACACGUGCUACAAUGGUUGGUACAACGAGUCGCGAGUCGGUGACGGCAAGCAAAUCUCUUAAAGCCAAUCUCAGUUCGGAUUGUAGGCUGCAACUCGCCUACAUGAAGUCGGAAUCGCUAGUAAUCGCGGAUCAGCACGCCGCGGUGAAUACGUUCCCGGGUCUUGUACACACCGCCCGUCACACCA